CCCGCACAAGCGGUGGAGCAUGUGGUUAAUUCGAUGGUACACGAGGAACCUUACCUGGGUUUGACAUGCACAGGAAUACGGCAGAGAUGUCGUAGUCCCGCAAGGGAUCGGUGACAGGUGCUGCAUGGCUGUCGUCAGCUCGUGUCGUGAGAUGUUGGGUUAAGUCCCGCAACGAGCGCAACCCUUGUCCUUAGUUGCCACCAUUCAGUUGGGCACUCUAAGGAGACUGCCGGUGUUAAACCGGAGGAAGGUGGGGAUGACGUCAAGUCCUCAUGGCCUUUAUGACCAGGGCUACACACGUACUACAAUGGCCGGUACAAAGGGCAGCCACUUAGCGAUAAGGAGCCAAUCCCGUAAAGCCGGUCUCAGUCCGGAUUGGAGUCUGCAACUCGACUCCAUGAAGUUGGAAUCGCUAGUAAUCGCAGAUCAGCACGCUGCGGUGAAUACGUUCCCGGGCCUU
rnacentral:rRNA from 1 species